CCCCACCCCACCUCGACCCCACCCCCAGCCCUCAGUCGCCGCCCGGGGGUAGGAAGGAAAAAGGGCUAGAGCCGAGGGGGAAGGGGCUGGGAUUUCCCCGGCUGGAUCCGCUAAAGGCCCAAGAGAAGGGGAUUUCAGUUUUGAGCUGGAAGUGAGUCGCUUGCGUCUGGCAUCCCUUAGUCCGCGCCCCCGGCCGGAGAGACCGCGCUGGCCCUCGAGGAGGUUUGGGACUGUGCCCGCUGCCCUUGGGCCCUGGCGACCACUUAGAAAUCCCCACGCGCCUCCCGCACCCCCCGCCCCUGUCCAUCCGGCGGGGUGCCUGCGGGUCGCGCUGCCCUCCGCCCGCCUGGUCUACGCCGCGCUCCCUCCCGCGCUUGCUGGGCACCCAGGCCAGUCCCAGGGGCUCGAAAGCCAGGGACCCGGAUGGGACCCUCCAGAAGCCCUAAUGGGGCAAGCCUUCCAGAAGACAGAAGACGUGUGAAACGAGCUGUUACAAAAGGACGCUAAGGAGUUUUCUACUGCCCCUCCUAUCUCCUGUCAUAGAUUCAGUUUUCCAGGAAGUCAGCAUACAGUGAGCCAACAGCUAUCCUGUCUCCUCCGAGAAAAAGCAAAUUGGUUUCCAUCGCUACCUGGCCCGCAGAAUCAGUUUACAGGAUGGUUUGCCAUUUCUGCUAAAAGGGGACUCCAUACUGUAAACUGGGGCUUCUGUGGUGACUCAGAUGGUAAAGAAUCUGCCUGCAAUGCAGGAGACCUGGGUUCGAUCCCUGGGUCAGGAACA